rfam:Sus scrofa chromosome 7.
UCCCUGGUGGCUGAAUGGGUUAAGGAUCCAGCAUUGUUACUGCUGUGGCUCGGGUUCGAUCCCUGGCCCAGGAA